rnacentral:rRNA from 1 species
GUAAGGAAUAUUGGUCAAUGGACGAAAGUCUGAACCAGCCAUGCCGCGUGAAGGAUGAAGGCCCUCUGGGUUGUAAACUUCUUUUAUCUGGGACGAAAAAAGGGUAUUCUUACUCACUUGACGGUACCAGAGGAAUAAGCACCGGCUAACUCCGUGCCAGCAGCCGCGGUAAUACGGAGGGUGCAAGCGUUAUCCGGAUUCACUGGGUUUAAAGGGUGCGUAGGUGGGUAUUUAAGUCAGUGGUGAAAUCUCCGAGCUUAACUCGGAAACUGCCAUUGAUACUAUUUACCUUGAAUGCCCUGGAGGUAAGCGGAAUAUGUCAUGUAGCGGUGAAAUGCUUAGAUAUGACAUAGAACACCAAUUGCGAAGGCAGCUUACUACGGGGUGAUUGACACUGAGGCACGAAAGCGUGGGGAGCAAACAGGAUUAGAAACCCGUGUAGUCC